rnacentral:rRNA from 1 species
UCCACGCCGUAAACUAUCAAUACUCGUUUUCGGCGAUAUACAGUCGGAGACUAAGCGAAAGUGAUAAGUAUUGCACCUGGGGAGUACGAUCGCAAGGUUGAAACUCAAAGGAAUUGACGGGGGCCCGCACAAGCGGUGGAGCAUGUGGUUUAAUUCGAUGAUACGCGAGGAACCUUACCAGGGCUUAAAUGUAUAGUGACAGGUGUGGAAACACAUUUUUCUUCGGACACUUU